AGAAAGGGAAAAAUCAUCAAAUUACUAAAAUACCCUUAAUUAGGGCUUUUGUAACCCUCGUAUAAAUAUCAAACCAGCAGCUUUUCUCAGACUCGAUCUCGCCAACGAUUUCAUCUGUAGAGGAUUCGGCGGCUCCUAAACGAGCUGAUAGGCGGGGUAACUCUUUGAAGAUUUUCGGUCGGCAUGAGGGCUAAGUGGAAGAAGAAGCGUAUGAGGAGGUUGAAGAGGAAGCGCCGAAAGAUGAGACAAAGAUCCAAGUAGAUGAUGGAAAUGGAUACUUGGAUGGCUUCUUUUGAGCGACCCGGCCAUUUCUUCGUUGGCUAUUUGGUGUUUUCGAAUGAAUGGAAGGAAGUUCUGUAGACGGGAGCUGUCUUGUUUUCAAUUAUGUUCCGAUUCCCAUUCGAUAUUCUAGACUAUAAUUGAGUAUGGCAUAUGUUUUCAUUUCGAAUAUAAACAGUAUGAGAGACUUGUACUGAACCUAUUCUAUCCGAUAUUUCCUUCCUUUUUAAGUUUAUCUGCAUCAUAUUUUUAAAA